GGAAAAGGCACAGUGCUUCCCUGAGAACAGAUGGGGAGGAAAUAGGAGCAAAGUCCAUCCUCCCAGAGGUACCAAUGCAGCCAAUGGCUGACACAUUCCUCUUCAGUGACCUACACCAGGGAGGCAUCAACAGGCUGAAGAUGACGGAGAAGGAGAUGCUGUAAGAAGGACAGACCCCCAGAUCUGCAAUGCUACCACUACCAUCCACAGUAAUGGCUAAAUUACAGGGCCAUGGAGCAGGAUCCAAGAGUAUGUGCUACAUGUGUGUUCCUGACCUUCCCAGGUUGAAUUUCCAUGGGACAGCUGAAAUCUCCAGCACUGGUGUAAGGCUGAAGCUGGCUGGCUACCCUGCUCAAGGGAGGGUUUCAUAGAGAGAAGGAAGCUUCUUCUAAAGCUGCAUCCAGGAGUUGGACUCAAAGGCCUUUAUGAUUCCCUUCCAACUUGGGAUAUUCUGGUUCUGUCUCCACUGCACUGGGGGCUGGACAAGACAAUCUCCAGAGAUCCCUUCCAACCCCUAGGAUUAUGUGGGUCUGUGGAUGCUGAAUUGUUAGAGGCUGUCCUCUGUGCCACCCAAGAGCUCCUUGCAGACAUAAUUUUGAAGUCCUGGUCAAGGGUGCAAAGUGUCCAACUGUAGCAUAUGGCUCAUUUUUCUCUGAAGCACCAUGCCUGUGCUGUGCUGAAAUAUUUAGCAGAUAAGGAGCACUUGUUCCUCUGGACCUGAGAUGCCAAUUUCAUCCUGGACAGUUUUUUCCUGAAGUGAAGAUUUAGGGUGCUGAGGAAAGCCAUAAUGUCUCCUUUUGGUGCCCUCCUUGGUGUUUCGCUGAAGUUCAGUGGCUGACAACAUGCAGGACAUCACACUAGAAAACCUCAUGGUUAUUUCUUGACUUCAAUUCUCGUGCCUUUCUGAAAUUGCUAAAGAAAAUGAAUGCCCUUGCUAGUGAGCACCUAAAUAUAAGGUGGCAAAUCUUGGCAAUCAUUGGCCAGGUUAGCUCAUAUUCACCCUAACAAAGCAGAAUUAUACAUUGGUAAGUAAGUGCUGUUGUAGGGUUUUUGCAGAAAUGUGAGGAACAAUCUGAUCUCCUACAUAGUGAAGCAAGUGUAGUAGCUUUAACUGACAUUAAAAGAAAUCAAUAGAGCAUGAUCCAGAUGUUUGCUGAAGUAUUCAAGUUGUAACAGCAGCUGCCUCACUCAUGUCCAAACUGACUGCAAACAAUGAGUUAGACCAGUCAGAGAGUGGGAGGAAUCCUGGGAGGACUGACCAAGUUGCUGCUGAAAUCAUGGCCGAUCUCCCAGCUAGAUCCAACUUUGACAUCAGAUCCAAGUUACCUAUGGCCUUGUCCGGUCAAAUUUUGAAUAUUUUCAAGUGGACGGGUGUAGCACUCUGGAACACACAAUUAGUGCAGGGUGCACACAACACGGUGCAGUUCCCCAGUGCUGUGAAUGGUGCAGGAUUGUCAUGCAGAGAUGUCUGUGUGUUCUCCUGGGCACCUCCGGAGCAGUCCCAGGGUGCUGGUGGGGUUGGUUGUGGCUGUCCAACAAAAGCCUUCCACAGCCACAAGCUCAGCUCCCUCUGGGAAUGAAAAAAGCAAGAAAGCAAGACAUAAAAAAAGAUCAGACCUAGUAUAAGUAUUAAGACAUUCUCAGAAAACCCCAAGAGAUGGCAACAUGGUAGAAAGCCAGCCACAAGCUGGAGCAGGGCUGGUAUGUCUUCUCUUGAGAGUUCAGGAGAAUUUCCUGUCUCCCGUGAUGGAGUGAUCUUUCUAUAGCACUUUAUGUAAGAUAUGAAACCCUUUUCUAUUUCCCAUUGCUCUUGAAGGCUCUGCAACAGCUCUGUACCAGUUGCCUCUAAGCCACAUGCAGAGACCUUGCAGUUCUCAUGGUCCUCUGCAGUGUCAUUCUGCAGGUGCUUGAUCCUCUUAUAACCAUUGAUGAGAAAGACUAGCAAAGAAUGGCUCUAUGUUUGGGGCAAUAUCUAUGGGUGAAAAAAAUAGAGACACACUCUCCCUUCUGUCAUAGAUCUCACAGAGUCAUAGAAUAUCCUGGGUUGGAAGGCAUCCAUAAGGACCGUAGAGUCCAACUUCUGGCUCCACACAGGACCCCCAAAAAACCUGAGAGCAUCAUCCAGAUGCUGCUUUAACUCCAGCAAGUUCUGAGUUCUGACCACUUACUUCCCUGGGGAAGAUCUCUUGGAUGACCUUGGGUGAGUCAUUUAAACUCAGCCAUCUUCUUGGUCUUAAAACUGGAAACUGGUUUGGCUUCCUCAUCUCAGAGUCAUAGAAUCACAGAAUGAAUCAUAGAACCAUAGAAUGGCUUGGGUUGGAAGAGACCUCAAGGAUCAUCAAACUCCAAGCCCCCGCCACAGGCAGGGCUAACAUCUUCCAUAUUUAAUACUAGAGCAGGCUGCCCAGGGCCCCAUCCAACCUGGCCUUGAACACCUCCAGGGAUGGGGCAUCCACAGCCUCUGUGGGCAGCCUCUUCCAGCACCUCACCACUCUCAUUGUAAAGAACUUCCCCCUGAUAUCCAACCUAGAUCUUCCCUUCUUGUGUCAGAGUGAGGAGGACCAGGUAAGACCAUAUGGGUUGGUCAUAGAUAAUGGACAGGUUGUGCAGAGCUUGGUUCUCACUGCAUGAAGGCAGUGUUCCCCCUGCAGGGAGUUUGCUGCAGCUCCGGAGCCUCUGAAUCGUCUAUUUUUUUGGGGAAGGAAAAAUUAUUCAGGUAGCCAAGAAAGCAGAAGAGUGUGAUUUAUAACAGGGAAAAUCCACAGCUUCUGCUGUUGCUUAAAUAAUUGUUAAAGCUGUUGUGGCAUAAGGUAGGGAUGACUUAGAAAGCAGCACCUAUUUCUUUUGAAAUCAGAGCUUCAGCAAAUGCUUCCUGCGUGUUGUGACUGGAGAGAUGAGCUGUCCUUUUUAUUUUUGGUUGCUUUCAUUUCCUCUUUCUUAUUUUUCUUCGUUUCAUGAGAAGAAUGUGUCGCUUGCAGACAAUCAAACUAAAUAAAACUUGGGGAUUUAAAU
rnacentral:lncRNA from 1 species